rnacentral:tRNA from 1 species
GUACCUCCCUUACACCGAGGAGUCGCCCGUGCAAGCCGGGCCGCCCUGA